UUUUGCAUUUUUGAGCAUGUCAAAUUUCAUAUGGUAAAUGCACAUUGAAACAUAUUGCAAAUGCGCGCGCACUUGCAAUAUGAUUCUAUAGUGAAAAAACAUCACCUAAUGGACAUGAUGAAAUCAACACAACGAGUGAUGGAAAUGUACAACUAUCACUGCUCAGCCAUCCUGUGUUCAUCAGACCAGUCAAUUUUGCAUUUUUGAGCAUGUCAAAUUUCAUAUGGUAAAUGCACAUUGAAACAUAUUGCAAAUGCGCGCGCACUUGCAAUAUGAUUCUAUAGUGUAAAAACAUCACCUAAUGGACAUGAUGAAAUCAACACAACGAGUGAUGGAAAUGUACAACUAUCACUGCUCGGCCAUCCUGUGUCCAUCAGACCAGUCAAUUUUGCAUUUUUGAGCAUGUCAAAUUUCAUAUGGUAAAUGCACAUUGAAACAUAUUGCAAAUGCGCGCGCACUUGCAAUAUGAUUCUAUAGUGAAAAAACAUCACCUAAUGGACAUGAUGAAAUCAACACAACGAGUGAUGGAAAUGUACAACUAUCACUGCUCAGCCAUCCUGUGUUCAUCAGACCAGUCAAUUUUGCAUUUUUGAGCAUGUCAAAUUUCAUAUGGUAAAUGCACAUUGAAACAUAUUGCAAAUGCGCGCGCACUUGCAAUAUGAUUCUAUAGU